AUCCGAGGGACUUGCGAUUAUGUCAAUUUGAGGAUCAUACGACGCUUCAUAAUGUCGGAAUAACAUAAUUACAAUGUGAUGAGCCAAUACUUGGACUGUUGGAUACCAAGUCCCGUGUGAUGUUGAAUGGAAGGAAAAGCACCUGUCAGGAUACAUAUGGAGAUUGGAUAGAACAAUGAACCAAUUCAAGUGCUUUAAACUUUUCAGUAGAAAAAUUACUGUCACUGCAUAGUUUAGAAAUGUUGACUCAUAAUCUUUAAUUAAUAUUAAUGUAUAUUUUAUCAGAAAUUUUGAGAGUAGGUAAGAAAUAACCAAACUGUUCAAUAUUAUGUACAUUGUUUUAAGUACUGAAUUUCAAAGACCAUCUUUAUUGAAAACACUUCAAAACGCAUCCUAAUCUUAUUAAUAAUCAACCUUGAUGAAAAGACUAAUACGGACAUGAUAUUUGAAGAAUAAAUCCCACCAAUGGACUGUUCUCAGUUUGACUAAAGCCAACCCUACUAAUUGUUGACGACCAAUAUGCUUUUACA